CGCGGUUGCCCGGGUUACAGACGCCUGACCUCGGCCUGGGGCCUGUCGCGGAGCGGGCGGGGAGUGGCGGUCCGAACCGGAGUCAGAUAGUGCCUGAAUGGGUGAAAAUCAUUCUCCAGAAGCUUGGCAUCCUGGCACAACAGAGAAAACGAUAAGCAAAGUUCCCUCUCUCACGGAAGAUGGAAAAACAGCCCAAAAGCCAGAGGAAGAAGACACCCCCGGAGACACGGGGCCCCUGUCCCUCCUGGACGGGCUGAGGGUCUGCACUGUUCUGGAGGACACAGCAGACCAGCUUUCCAUCCUGAACUACAUCAUGCCCAUUUAUUACGAAGAGAGACAAGGCGCCCUUAGAAAAAAUAGAGAAAGCACUUCUGAAGGAAAAACAUCAGAAAAACUUUCCCCACUAACAGAUUCCUCAAAGUUAUCCACUCCAUUCAUCACUAAAGAAGAACCCAAGUUGUUGGAAGCCAAACCGGGACUCCAGUUGAUCAAGGAGAUUAGCAAAAUGCAAGAUCUUGCCUUCAAGAAGCCUACAAGGCAGACCAUCCUAACCAUGGAGACACUGAAGAAAAUUCAGAUGGACAGGCAAUUUUUCAGCGAUGUGGUUUAUGACACCAUGCAGGAGUUAAACGAUUCAGGUCAAUUCACCAGUCUCCUGAAUGCAUUGAGCAAAGAGAAAGAAAACAAAACGCAUUUUUAUGAUUUAAUUACAAGGGAAGAGAAAGGAAGAAAGCAGAUAAAAUCUCUCCAAAAGCAGCUUCUCAAUGUUAAGAGGGAGCGGCAGGCUGAGAUUCAGAGUCAGAAUGAAUAUAUCGCUCACCUCAAGGACCAGCUGCAAGAGAUGAAGGCAAAAACCAGCAUGGAGAACCGCUACCUGAAGAUGAACACUGAGCUGCAGGUUUCCCAGACAGUGAAGAAAUGCAGCAAGGCUGAGGAGCUCAUGCUGGAGGAGAUAGAGAAAGUGAGGCAGAAAACUGAAGAUGAGAACCGGAUUCAUCAGGAGAUUGAGGUAUUCCUGAGGAGGCGACAGCAGACACUUGAGGAUAAACUGGAGUUCUGGAUGGAGAAAUUUGAUAAGGACACGGAAACCAAACAGAACGAACUCAAUGCGCUCAAAGUGGCAAAAGCCACUGACUUAAUGCACCUGCAGGAGCUGGCAAAGACGAUAAGAGAGUACGAACAGGUUAUUAUUGAAGAUCGUCUAGAAAAGGAGACAUAUAGGAAGAAACGAGAAAAGGAAGCUUUGGAAUUAAAGAGCAUCAUAAAGCUUCAAGCCUGGUGGCGAGGCACCAUGGUCCGGAGGGAAAUUGGUACAUUCAGAUUGCCUCGGAAAGGAGUGGAUACGAAGGAUCAAAAAAAGGGUAAAGGCAAAGAGAAGGACAAGAGAAAAGGCAAGAAAUAAUGCCCAAGAGCUCUCUCCUGUCUCUUCCUCCAGAGGGAGGAACGCUGUCCCCACAGCUUGCCCGCAGGGUGUUCUGUGUUUGGGCAUUCCCAGAUGAGGUCUGAUAAAUUCAUUUCACCUAUUCCGUGUUUCCAAACCCUGAAUUAACAUUAUGAUUUAGGGCUUCAUACUUUGAAAUAAACUUGUCAGGAAGAAAUGUUUCUAGAAGUCUUGUGGUCUUGUGAGGAUACCUCUUGCUUUUAUUCAUUAGGAAAAAUGGUCAUGGGCUUAUAGUGAUGCAUUAAAAUGCCAGUGAUGGAGCCAGAGAGGUAGUGCAGAGGGUAGGGUGAGUACUUCCUUGCUAACUGUGGCUGAUCCAUCUCCAGCACUGCAUCUGGUCCCCCUGAGACCAGAGUGAUCCUUUACACAGAGCAAGGAGUAAGUCCUGAGUACUGCUGGAUAUGGCUUCCAAACCAAACCAGGCCAGACCAGACCAAAAAAACAAAACAAAACAAACAGAAAAAACCCACCAGUGAUUUCUGGAACGUCUCUCUUAUUUUAUUCUUCAGUAGUGAAAUGAACUCUUUUAUGAGCAAGUCAGGUGAUCAAUAGUAGUGUAUGUUAAUGUUUAAAGUGUCUACCAUAAACUCUACUGGAAGUUCCUGCACAUCUUUCAUUAAUUUGGUUUUGGGGUCAGCAUGUUUCUUUGUUCAGGGAGACUGUGCGGCCAGGGAUAGAGGGGGCAUCCGGCCGUCUCUGUGGCCUGGGCCCACCACUUUGAUGGCAUCACUGUAGUGUUUUGAGAAGGCUGGGGCAGCACAUGAAAUGCAUGGUACAUAUUUUAUUCUAAGCCGCAUCAAUUUCCUUUCUGGGAAACUGGCAGGAUUAUACAUUAUAAACACAAAGUGAGACAUAAGUAUGUUACAAAGUGUAAAGAGAAACACGGGAUGACUCAGGACUGUCUGGAAAUCCUUUUGGGAGGCGCUGGUGUCUACACCUACUUCACAUUACUGGACACGCAGAAGUCAUUCUUUCUCUUCCUCUAAGAAUGUUUCCACAGGGCACGUCUUGCCUUGAUCAGAACGGCCGUGGGAUGCUACAGCGUGCUCGACUGACCCCGGCUGGCAGUGUCUGAGGUAAUGGUGUGCAGCUGCCUGCAGCUGAGGAGAGGCUGCCUGCCCGCUGCCAGCUCCUACAGGCCACUGCGAGCACUGGUCUUCAAGAGGACAGUGGAGUGUGGACACGGCUGCAACCUGGGCUUCAGACAGCUAAUGAGAGGGACAGAAAAUUCAUGCCUUUUUUCUUGGGAUAUGUUCUUCUUGAACAAACUAUGAUGACAAGAACUAUAAAGGUUGUGGUUGAUUAAAAAAAAAAAAGGUAGCAAAAGGCACCACACUGUUGUCUAUGCCUUUCAAUUUUCUCAUAUAGCAUGUCAUUAAGUAUACUAGUUCUUCCUUGCAUAAGCGAUUAAACACAUAUACUGGGAGAACGGGCCCUCCAGCACACUCCUUGGGGCUCCAUGGCCUCCUGGCAGUGCCUGAGGACCUUGUGAUGCAGGAGACCAAACCAAGGCUUGUGCCUGUGAGCUAGCUCCCUGGGCACAGCUCUGUAAAACAGAGCACUGAAGUGAAAAUACCACGUGCAUGUCCUUUCAGCAUGCCUGAAGCGCAGGGAGCGAGUGAUGUCUAGGUGUCGCAUCUCCAGCUGUGACUGAGGAAGGGCAGCACCCAAGUGCUCAGUAGGAAACUGAUGCAAUCUGAAAGUCUGAUAUUCUCAACAGCUCACGCCAGUGUUUCAUGUAUUCGUCUAUGGACUAUGUUGAUGUCUGCAGCAGAGGAACUGGGUGAAAUCUUUAUAGUAACUCCGCUCUACUUGCAACAUUUCUCUAAGUUUAAAAUUAUUUCAAAUGAAUAUUUGUGGGUAGCCGGUAUCAGAGCUGGGCUACAUCAGUGUGCUGGGGGAUCACUCCUGAUGGCGGUGAGGAAUCACGGGGGCUCCCCGGCCUGGUGGGGCUGGCAGCAUGCAGGUCAAGCACUUGAAUUCUUGACUGUCUCUUUGGUACCAUUUAAAAAAUAUAUUAAGUAUUAAAAACACUGAUGCCAUCAAGCCCAUACUGCAGGCUGUGCAGCACUGCGAAUGGCCACUCUGAAAUUUAAAAACUGAAUGAAAAUAACCCUGAAACCACAGAGGGACGCCUCAGUGGGCGCUGUGCUGGUCUAGAGAACAGACUCUGCAUUGUCUGAAGCCUCGCACAAGCUAUACAAGGAAGGGUAUUUGGAAGAACAUUUAAUAAAUAUUAUUUUUCAUCAUGACUACUUAUUAUAAAUUAUUUAAGUUUACAUGUGCAUGUUUUGUUUGUUUGGCUCUUGGAAAUAAGUAUGGAAAAAUGUUUAGAUUCCAGCAACAAAUAUCAUGUUAGUAAGUAUCAACUUAGUUCAGAGCUAAUCCUACACAAUUUUAGAUACUUGAAUUUCUGAAAUAUUAAUAAAAUAAUACCCAUGUUUAUUUAAGCAAUAUAAAA